rnacentral:misc_RNA from 1 species
AACAGUAAAUUGCUUUUUUUUUCAAUUUUUCUGUGCCCAUUCCGAUUCAGAUGAAAUUGUCCUGAUGCGAGUGCGUGUCGGGCGUAUGUGGUGCUCUAUAUUUCGAUAUUUCCGUAUAACACUGUGGUUUUAAAAUGCUCUAAAAUUGAUUGGGGACGUUGUUUAGUGUUUGUUUUCAAAUUGAGCGAUGGCUUUGGGCAACGGUAGUGCCCCAAAUGGGGCGAUUAAUAGCGAAAAGGCGCCGGUUGUCAACGGGACUAAUAUGGAAACCCUGCCUAGGACUGGGAAACAGACUGACCCAAAUACCGCUUUUCUGAGAGCUGCACGGGCUGGACAGCUUGACAAAAUCCAGGAAUAUCUUGAUUCUGGCACAGUAAGGGAUAUCAACACGUCUAAUGCGAAUGGUCUAAAUGCCCUUCACUUAGCAGCUAAAGACGGGCAUUUGGAGAUAGCUAGGGAACUGUUAAAGCGAGGAGCAGUAGUAGAUGCAGCUACAAAAAAAGGCAAUACAGCCUUGCACAUAGCUUCUCUUGCUGGUCAAGAAGAGGUAGUCAGACUACUUGUGCAACAAGGUGCUUCCCUAAACGUCCAAUCACAAAAUGGAUUUACACCACUAUACAUGGCGGCCCAGGAAAAUCACGACGGGGUGGUGCGGUAUUUGCUGUCUAAAGGUGCUAAUCAGACCUUGGCUACAGAGGACGGAUUUACACCGUUGGCGGUAGCAAUGCAACAAGGUCACGACAAAGUGGUAGCUGUAUUGCUAGAAAACGACACAAGAGGAAAAGUACGAUUGCCUGCACUUCAUAUUGCAGCCAAAAAGGAUGACGUGAAGGCUGCGGCAUUGCUCCUACAAAACGAGCAUAAUCCCGAUGUAACAUCCAAGAGCGGUUUUACGCCGCUUCAUAUCGCGUCUCAUUACGGAAACGAUAAAGUUGCUUCUUUACUAUAUGAUAAGGGUGCCAACGUGAACUACACUGCUAAGCACAACAUCACUCCUCUUCAUGUGGCAAGUAAAUGGGGUAAAAUUAAUAUGGUCACGCUUCUAGUGGCAAAAGGAGCGGAUAUCCAAGCGAAAACUAGAGAUGGACUUACUCCACUUCAUUGCGCUGCCCGAAGUGGGCACGAUCAAGUGGUAGACAUGUUAUUAGAGAAUGGAGCUCCUAUACAUGCGAAAACAAAGAACGGUCUGGCUCCUCUACACAUGGCCGCGCAAGGCGAACACGUGGACGCGGCGCGGAGUCUUCUCUACCACGGCGCGCCGGUAGAUGACGUCACAGUCGACUAUUUGACGGCUUUACAUGUGGCCGCGCAUUGUGGUCACGUGCGCGUGGCUAAACUGCUAUUGGAACGCGGCGCAGACGUCAACUCACGAGCCCUAAAUGGGUUCACGCCUUUACACAUCGCUUGUAAAAAAAAUAGACUUAAGAUGGUGGAGCUCUUAAUUAAGCAUGGAGGCAGCAUUGGUGCUACUACGGAGAGUGGUCUCACUCCACUACAUGUAGCCAGUUUUAUGGGCUGCAUGAACAUUGUGAUAUAUCUUUUACAACAUGAUGCUAACCCUGAUAUUCCUACUAUAAGAGGUGAAACGCCCCUUCACUUAGCUGCCAGAGCCAAUCAGACCGAUAUAAUAAGAAUCCUGUUACGUAAUGGUGCAAGCGUUGACGCUAAGGCGCGCGAAGAACAAACGCCACUUCACGUGGCCUCUCGACUUGGUAACGUUGAUAUCGUUAUGUUACUGUUGCAACAUGGUGCUGUUGUGAGUGCAACUACUAAGGAUUUAUAUACUCCAUUGCAUAUAGCUGCCAAAGAAGGACAAGAAGAGGUCGCUUCGGUUUUAUUGGAUAACGGCGCUGACUUGAGCGCCACGACCAAAAAAGGUUUUACCCCCCUGCAUUUGGCAGCCAAAUAUGGACAUCUUAACGUGGCUAGAUUGUUAUUGCAGCGCGACGCUCCCGCUAAUGCUCAAGGUAAAAAUGGGGUUUCGCCUCUUCACGUUGCCGCUCAUUACGAUCAUCAACCAGUGGCGUUGCUUCUGUUGGAUAAAGGAGCUUCGCCACAUGCGGCUGCUAAAAAUGGACACACUCCACUUCAUAUAGCUGCUCGAAAAAAUCAAAUGGACAUAGCGACGACAUUACUUGAAUAUGGGGCUCAGGGAGACUCUGAAUCCAAGUCCGGUUUUACUCCGCUACAUUUAAGCGCCCAGGAAGGACACUCCGAUAUGUCGUCUUUACUUUUGGAGCAUCAAGCGGAUCCAAAUCACGCCUCAAAGAAUGGACUUACUCCGCUACACUUGUGUGCUCAAGAAGACAGAGUUGCAGUGGCUCAAUUGUUACUUAGGGCGGGAGCUAAAAAAGAUGCUCAGACAAAAAGCGGGUACACUCCCUUACACGUGGCUUGCCAUCACGGCCACGUGAAUAUGGUUAGGUUAUUAAUUGAACAAGGAGCGGACGUAAAUCCGGUUACGGGCGACGGAUAUACUCCUUUGCAUCAAGCCGCCCAACAGGGACAUGUGUUGGUGAUUAGCCUUUUGCUUAAAAAUAAAGCUGAUCCUAAUGCAGUUACUCAGAUUGGGCAAACUGCUCUCGGUAUUGCUAACAAACUGGGCUACAUCAGCGUGGUGGAAGAACUUAAAAUAGUAACAGAAACCACCAUAAAUACCACGACAACAAUGAACAUUGAGGAGAAAUAUAAGGUUGUAGCGCCCGAGGCUAUGCAAGAGACUUUCAUGUCGGAUUCAGAGGAUGAAGGUGGCGGAAUGGAUGAGCCGCCAGUGGCCUACGGUCGGCCGGCGCAUGCGCAGCACGUUUAUCUGCCCUUCUAUCAAGGACAAAUGACAUACACACGUGACGAUCCGAUUUUGGGCGACCAACAGCAAUAUAAAUACAUGACUGUGGACGAUAUGAAAUCCUUGGGUGACGAUUCCAUGAGAAUGGACGUCACGCAUGACGAGAAAAGCGAAUACAAUCGAAAUUCCAUGGCCCCAUCUUACAUAAGCAGCGAAUUAAUAAUUCAGCCGCAACAUGCUAAAGAAUAUUAUUCACAGCCCGAUAAUGUUGAUAUUAACCGUCAACCUGUUACAGCUGGCUCGUGCUUCUCGGACGGUACCACCUGGGUGGCGGUAGACCGAUAUCUGGCCCUAGAGUUGGGUGCAACCCCUCAAUGCCACCUGGUGACAGGCCUGUGCAGACAAAGCUUUCUGGUAUCCUUCCUGGUGGACGCAAGAGGAGGCGCAAUGCGUGGUUGCCGCCACUCGGGGGUUCGCGUUAUAGUUCCUCCCAGAUGUGCCCAAUCUCCUACGAGAGUAACCUGUAGGUAUGUCAGACCGCAUCGGGCUCCUCACCCGCCGCCAUUGAUGGAGGGAGAGGCUUUGGCUAGUAGGUUGUUGGAGUUGGGCCCAGUUGGAGCAAAAUUUUUGGGUCCGGUCAUAAUCGAAGUGCCACACUUUGCCUCACUUCGUGGAAAACAUCGCGAAAUUGUAGUUUUAAGGUCGGAGAAUGGGGAAACGUGGAAGGAACAUACUUUAGAAGCCAACGAAGAAGCGGUCCAAGACGUAUUGAACCAUAGCUUUGAUGGUGAAGAAUUGAGUCAAUUAGAAGACCUUCACACUAGCCGCAUCACCAGAAUUCUCACCAACGAUUUUCCCAAUUACUUUGCUGUGGUAUCAAGAAUUAGACAAGAAAUCCACGCCAUUGGUCCAGAUGGCGGUACAGUGUCCAGUUCUGCUGUCCCCUUAGUGCAGGCGGUGUUUCCUCCAAAUGCUCUGACAAAAAAAAUCAGGGUCGGAUUGCAGGCUCAAGCGAUAGAACCAGAGCUUGUAUCCAAACUUCUCGGUAACAGCGUGGCCGUUUCACCAAUAGUUACUGUAGAACCUCGUAGACGUAAAUUCCAUAAAGCAAUAAUGCUUAGCAUGCCUGCUCCUAAGGCGCACUCCCAAGGAAUGAUCAACCAAUAUCAAGGAGCGUCCAGUACCACUUUACGGUUGCUCUGUUCCAUCACUGGUGGUCAAAGCAAGGCAAUAUGGGAGGACGUUACCGGAUCCACGCCCUUGACUUUCGUGAAAGAAUGCGUUUCUUUCACUACAACGGUGUCGGCAAGGUUUUGGUUGAUGGACUGUAGGAAUGUGGCUGAUGCAGCAAAAAUGGCUACUGAACUGUAUAAUCAGGCUGCCCACGUACCAUUUGUGGCUAAAUUUGUCGUUUUUGCUAAAAGAAUAAGCCAAUUAGAAGCCAGAGUUCGAGUUUUCUGUAUGACCGACGAUAAAGAAGAUAAAACUCUAGAACAUCAGGAACAUUUCACCGAAAUAGCAAAGAGCAGGGAUAUUGAAGUCUUAGAAGGUAAAGAUAUUUUUAUGGAGUUCGCGGGAAAUUUAGUUCCAGUCCUACAAUCAAACGAUCAACCAAAAUUAGGUUUUAAAGCUUUCAAGGAAAAUAGAUGUGCUUUUAAUAUGAGAUUAAGGGACCAUGACGAAGAUCCCAUUGGCCGGAUAAUCUUUAUGGCAGAACCAAAAACUGGACGGUCCGGAUAUAGCCAGAGCAAUCCACUUUGCACUCUUAAUCUCGUCUUUCCUAAAGAUGUUGUCCCUGAUAGGGACUCACAUUCAGACUUACUUUCCAUUAAUAAGGACCACAGCUAUUUACAUCAUGGAGGAAUCAGUAAACCCGACACCAUACAUCGUGCCGACUUCCGUCUCUCGGACAUCUGCAACCUCCUGGACGAAGACUGGCAAAAGUUGGCCCUAGAACUGGGAGUAGCUCCCUCGGACAUCGCCCUAAUAAAGGAAGAAUAUCCGGAAAACCAGCCACAGCAGGCGAUGAUCAUGUUCCGUUUGUGGCUGAGACAGAGGCCCCAAAACGCUACCGGCAAUCAGCUGGAACGCGCCUUAGAUAAAAUAGGGCGACAGGAUAUUGUGGAUAAGUGCAUUUUCAAUGUUGAAAUGGUGACGGACGAUAUGGAAAAAGCCUUGGCAAAGAUUCAUUUGGAUCAAUCAGGUUUUGACAACCUAAAAGACGAACUAGGACCGUCAAGAGAUACUUCCUUAAGGAGGGAUGCCCAUUUAGAUCGGUCAUAUCUGGGAAGUGAAGAGAAGUUGGAUAAAAGUGAACGAAGUGACGAUACCCAAACACCUAAGGACCAAUCAUUAAACACCACCCAACCAAACCAAACUAGAGAAGAAAUUUUAGAAGAAUUAACGCAACAAUUCGACAGUCUGCAAACCGAGCGAGUACCUAAUUCCUUUGGGGCCACUCCUCCUUCUACUCCUACUGAAAUAAUUUCUAAAAAUGAUGCAGAAUUCAACCUUACUACUGCAGAAGUGAAUGAAGUUGAAAGAUCAGGAACCCCAAAACCGACCGAAUCGACUGAAGAAACACCAGCAUUUACCUCGACGCCGAACAAACGACCAGACGUAGACCCUAUAGAAAUUCUCAAAAAGAACGUCAACGAUACCUUAACUUUCUUACAUCAAGAACGCAACGAUUUUCUUCCGUUGGAAGACUGCGACAUUCCUCCUAGAAAAAAUGAUCACAUUUCCAGCCAAAUCGAUUUAGAAUACAUCAGUUUAAAGACCCCCAAAAAGAAUCAAGAACCUAGUUUAGCUGAAAAAGAACAAACGGAAAAAAUUAACAGUUUAGAUGCUGUAGAUGAUUUUGUUGACGAUCGAGAAGAAACACCAAUGAAAACAACAAACAGUAUAGAUAAUGUAGGUGAUUUCGUUAACGAUCGAGAAGAAACACCAGUAAAAACUAUUCGUUUCGAGAUUACUGACGAUCAAAGAAACGAUACUAAAUUCGUAACUUUAACCGAUUCUUCUGAAGCAAAAGAAUCCGACAACAAUAUACGAAACUUAGCAGAGAAAGAAAUUCACUCGCUGAUCGUCGAAGCCGAAAAUGUGGUUUACGAUAUGCGGCAAAACGCACAAGAUAAAAACGCAGAGGAACCGGCCGAGGACUCCCUGGAUAACCUUGAGAGUCUCAAGGACGACUCGCUGCAAGAAAAGAGUGAGGAGGUAUUUAGAUUCCUCGACAAUGAGGCUUCAAGUCCGUUAUUGUUAAAAUCUCAGGAUGAGUUUCAUAUUCAAAAAGAGGCGGAGGUUGGAAGUGAAGAGUCUAGUAUAUCUGAGUCUCAUACAGCAGGAUCAGUAAGUCCCGUGAAGAGCUCUAUCCCGUUGUCGAAGGGAAGGAAAGGGAAGGAUAAGAGAAGAAAAGGAAAGAGCAGUAGGAGUGAGGAAGAAAGAAAUCAAACCUGGGAAACAGAACCCAAAUCUCUCGCCGAAGACGAACUUUCUAGCAAAAUUCCAAUCAGCAAAUCGACCAAAGUAAAAACGAUAAAAAAACACUCCAAAGACCCUUUAAAAGAGUUCGCCAACAUUUCAAAAGACAUCGACUGGGAAAAGGAUGAUGAAGCGACCGUCACCACUAAAAUAAUAAAAACGGUAACCACUAGCGACCCGAUCGUAAAAACUACCAUCACGAGAAUAACCCCGGAAAAAUCGAAAAUUACCAAUCGCGAGACCAAAAGCCCCGACUCUGCUACAAAAGAUCACGAAAAGAGCAAAAUUCCGGUGUUAAAAACUGAAUCGUUGGUGAUAGCCGCACAGAAAGAUCAUAACGAGUCAGAUUCUGAGGAGGAAUCGCAGAGGUCUCCCCCGUUAAAGGGGAUAUUAAAGAAACCCGCUCAGCAUGAAGGGAUGAUCGCCAACCCUAUUGGGAGCUCUAGUGGAUCCGAUAUAGCGUUGCACGAAGAAGGAGCUGAGCUUAGUUCAGAUUCAGCACGACAGUAAAAAUUGUUACUUUUAUUCUUAAAUGGCUUUAAUUAUACACACCAGGAUUUUUACCAUCAGGAACCUCAGUAUACUGAAACCACCGUGGAAGAGGUCGAUCCUAUAUCAGGAGCUAAAAUUACCAGGACUGUUAGAACAUUAAUCACUCACUCUGUGGUUUCACCUACCGAAUCUGACCUCAGACAAACCAUG